rnacentral:rRNA from 1 species
UCUUGGACAGCCUUCUGAAAGGAAGAUUAAUACAAGAUGGCAUCAUGAGUCCGCAUGUUCACAUGAUUAAAGGUAUUCCGGUAGACGAUGGGGAUGCGUUCCAUUAGAUAGUAGGCGGGGUAACGGCCCACCUAGUCUUCGAUGGAUAGGGGUUCUGAGAGGAAGGUCCCCCACAUUGGAACUGAGACACGGUCCAAACUCCUACGGGAGGCAGCCAUG